rfam:Brassica napus, WGS project CCCW01000000 data, contig: 386
GUUGUGAGGAAUGUUGUCUGGCUCGAGGUCAUGAAGUAGGUUCAUUAGAUCACUUAGCACUAAAUGAUUUUCGGACCAGGCUUCAUUCCCCACAAC